CAAAAGAAUUUGGGAUACAGAUCUUCCCUUCAGAGAACCGACACAGGAGCUGAAUAAGUAAAACCACGAGGAGUUUGAUUAGCUGAAAUGCUCCGCAGCUGCUCAGCACGGAAGCCAUCCCGCAGGUGGUCGGUGCCCGGCCGGAAGGGGUCGGCUCUGCGGCUACAGGCCGGCCACUCGCCCGCGCGCCUGGAGCGGACCCGCCUGAAGCAAGGUCACCUUCCAGGUUCCUCCCACAGAUGAAAAUGCCUGUCUACUUAACCUGUCUUCCCCUGCAGACUGUACUCUGCAGCAGGAACCCAAUCUGGCACAGGGAAGGUACCCAACAGUAGGUGCUGAAGCUCAGACACUGUUCUAAGAUAAGUACUAGGUCACAGAUACAAGCUGAAAAGUUCUCUGGAAACAGAAGCUCAUUUGUUCUGUAAGAAAGAACAUGGGUAUACAGCUCGGGAGCACCUGCCCUGAAUGCAGGAUACCAAGGUGCAGAGCAGCAGCUCUGCUACAGACUCAUGGUCUGCAGGAUGUGAGGGUCUGGGAAUGCCUGCUGACCAAUGGGAAACGGCGUAAAGGAAGAGAAUGCGUUCCAGAUUCCUGAGCAGCCGACAAGCCCUGACAGACUUAUGGGCUCUGCGCCUAUCAAUCACCUGAUGCUCAGUUUGGGAGAUCGGUGCUGGCUCACUGCCAGGGCGUCGUGAGCACUUACACACAGCUUCCCAGCAAUAUGUGGACUCUACUCACAAGGGCAGAGAAAGGCAAAAGAGGCCUGCCCAUUAACAAGCUCCAGCCAUCCCACCAUUUUAUCCUUUUCUCAGUGUAGACUUUAAUAAUGAGGAUGUCAUAAAAUCCUGGGUCAAGUACCUAUAGUUAGGGGGCAGAAAAGACAAGGUUAGUAAAUAUGCCCCAGUUGGUUUACAGUGAAUAGUGGACUGGUGGCCCCCAUUCUUUGGUUCUUUUCCAGAGGAACUCUGUUCACAUCAGCUUGCCACUGAAGCACAGAUACAAAACACUUAUACUCUUAAAAAUACAAUCCCAUUGUUUUUUCUUUUUAUGGCUGAGUAGUAUUCCUAUGUCAUUUGCAGAAACAUGGAUGGACCUGGAGAUCAUCAUUCUAAGUGAAGUAAGUUAGAGAAAGACAAAUAUAUGGUACCACUUACAUGUGGAAUCUAAAAAAAUAACUCAAAUGAACAGACUCAGACAUAGAAAACAAACUUACGGUUACCAGGGAGGGAGGAGGGUGGGAAGGGAUAAACUGGGAGUUAGAGAUUUGCAGAUACUGAUACAUGUUGUAUAGAGCACAGGGAACUAUGUUCAAUCUUACAGUAACCUAAAUGAAAAAGAAUAUGAAAAGGAAUAUAUGUAUGUUACUAUAUGACUGAAGCAUUGUGCUGUACACCAGAUAUUGACUAUACUUCAGUAAAAAUAGAAAAAACUACAAAAGGCAGAAGACAGUGAGUACUAAAAGAAACGAUCAACCUAGACCUGUGUAGUUCAAUAAUAAAGAUGAAAUAAAGGCUUUACUUUCAAAUAAGGAA